rfam:Otolemur garnettii contig128754, whole genome shotgun sequence.
UUUGGCAGCACAUAUACUAAAAAAAAAAAAAUUGGAAUGAUACAGAGAAGAUUAGCAUGGCCCCUGCACAAGGAUGAUACGCAAAUUCGUGAAGCAUUCCAUAAAAAA